rnacentral:lncRNA from 1 species
AGUUAAGGAGGCAGUAAAUAGAUAACAUUGUCGGGGGCUGCUAUAACAAAUUGCCACUCAAGUGGGUGGCUUAAAACAAUAGGAAUUUCAUCUCUGAAAUCAAGCUGUUGGUACAGCUGCAUUGUCCCCAGAGGCCCUGGACAUGAAUUCAUUCUUGGCUUUUCCACCUUCUGCUGCUGUCAGCAUUCCCUUCCUCGUGACCACUCCAUUGACCGUUUCUAUGAUCACACAGUCUUCUCUUAUUCUGUCAAAACUCCCUCUGCUUCAGUUUAUAAGGAUGUCAAGUGGCUUUACCCACCAAGAUAAUCAGGGCUGUGCAGUAUCUGAGGAUGGCCAUGAAUCCAGUGCCGUGAAAAUAUACCAUUGGGAAGAUGAAGACAAAAUUUUAUAAAGGCCAGAAAUACCUUUUUGACCCUGAAAUUACAUCACAAAAGCAGCUACUGUUGACAGAUCUUGUUUUUAAGAGAGACCAGUCAAGAGAGGACUGAGCUGUGGGAUUAUAAAACCUUUGAAAAAUCUUUCAUGUGUGAACAAGGUUAUGCAGUUGAUGGAUCAAGUCUAGGAGACUGAAUGAAGUCCAUCAUGCUUCCUCAACACAUAGGGAUUGCUUCACAACCAGAAAGAGCUCUUAAUUUUGCAGGGAACUAUGGCUGACAAAAGGAUCUAGAUAUUGAAGUAUCAUACCAUCCAGAGGAAACUGAGAGACUCAACUGCAGUUCAGGUGUCCAUCUCUUCUAAGAUGCCAAAGACACACUGAUAUGUUUGUGUUUGUUGACUUCUUUCUUUCCAUACCCCUGAAGAUCAUACUAUAUUUGCAAAUGUGAAAGAUUAGCUUGUCUCUUUUGUUAUAGGCCAGUUUCAAGUGUGCAACAAAGCCACAAAGAUUGACCUUGGGUAACUCAAAAUUACUGACAAUAAGUUUAAAGAUCAUCUCAAGCAGAAUGACUAUGGUAGUUGAUUAAGUAUUGCUAUUGUGUGCUCAUUCUUAAUAUUUAGAUACUCAAUGUAUGACUUUAUAUUAUAGUGCUGAAUGUAUUGACUCUAGGCUAGUAUAUAUUUCUGACAAAUAAAAUUUCACUCAAAAGGCUCCAAUAAUGUUUAAUUUCAGAUAGCAG